GUUGACUUACCGCGCGUAACUACGCAAAAACACAAAAUUGGCAAUUUGUUUUUAAAUUGUUUGGAAUAAAAUAUUAUAUUCAAAUAAUAUUGUUUUUGGAUUUCAACAAAAUGGCAAAUCAUUUAUACAAUUUUUCUUUAAAUCAAUUGGUGCUGCGUAUAAGAGCGAAAAUUGGAUAUGCAAUCAGUUUCACUGGAGUUUGAAUUGUACAAAAAAAGUAAAUUAUUUGUUAAAUAUUACUUUAACAAAUGUUUAAAUGUAAUAGCCGCUGUUAAAUGGAAUUAAAGUGUCAUAUACUAAAAAUAUGCAGAUAUGAAUUAAUAAUGAAAGAUCAUAAUUUCUGUCUGAAAGCAUCCAACGUAAACUUCGUUAGCAUUAAGUUUAUAUGCUACUUAACAUGACGGCAAUACUAUUAUUUGGCUAAAGUAGCAUAUAGGAUGCGCUUGUAUAAUAUCAUCAGAGGAUGCACUUCUUCAUUCAUUUAGCUACAGAGUUUAUUUCGUUUUGAAAACUCGUUUCAGUUUUUUUUGUUCAAUUUUUUCUGGACAUGAAAUUGCAAAGACAUUUGCAAAGGUAACAAUAUAUACGACAAAUGUCAAACAAACAUAUACCUGCUUGUGUGACCGCCUUUAAGGUAUGUUGAACGGUACUUGGUCGUCUUUGAAAAGUGGCUCCGGGACGUAAACCCGGCUGUUCUUGGAACUUUCCCCUUCCCAUUAUUUCUUAACUCUAACUUCAUCCAAUUACUUUCUUACUCAUGUAUUCGUCUUAUAAUCUUUAGAUCCUGGCGGGUUACAACAUCAACAACAAGGUAUCAAUCAUACUGCUUUGUGACAGAGGUAGUUCUUGAUUAUAUUGAAAAUAUGAUAUUGGUCUUAAGAUGUGAACCAAAAUAUGGUACGCUUGCACUUAUGGCUUAUCAUUUUUAAAAUUCAUUGUCUUGCUUGGCCUGGAGUUGAACGGCAUUUGGUCGUCUUCGACGAGUUUUUCUGGACGUAGACCCAGCUUUUCUUGGAACCUGAUACUGUUUCAUGGUUCUCUUCGGUUAUUCAGUAUUUUUAUGAUUACUGUUAUAGCUGUGAAACAGAGGCGAAACUGGAAAAUAUCUUUCGCUACCCGGCACAUAACAGCAGUCGUAUAUCUGCAGAAAGAUUUUUUUUUUUUCAAAAGUCUAUUGUUGUUUUUUAGUCCGUGAGGAUCUGCUUGUUAAAUUGAUUAUCGAUCAUGAUGAAUCCGGGACACAAACCUGGCGAUUCUUGGAGCCCAUAAAUAAAGGAUCAACGCUACUAAAAUGUAGGAUGCCUGCCUCGUAAGCAACUUUAUUUUUGCAUCAAUGUUUGGAUUAUUAUUGGACUGCAAUAUUUCCGAUGUAACUUAGUACAUUCUUUAUAAUUGGACUUUGUUAUUGUUAAUUACCAUGUUUUGUUUUAAAGUCGCAUAGGAUCGAAAACAAGAUAAGUCGCAUUGGGUCAUUAGUGAAAUGGGGUGGGGCGUUUGACAUUUUUAGUAAAUACUAAAUCAAAUCGGUAAAAAGCAACGAUACCUUUCAUAACUGCAUAAUGAUAAGGGCAUCAUAUAAAGGUGCUGGUAUUAGCUUAUAGACACUCAAUAAAAUUGUAGCAAACUCACACGCUAAAUAGUGAGAAAGAAAUGUAAAUAGAGUAUAGUUGACUUUAGUCAUUGUACCUAUAUGCUUAGGUAUGGAGUCUUAGCUAAAGCUAGAGUGUGUAUGGUUUCUUCAGAGCUAACACUUAUCGAUGUGGCGAAGUUAAAAGCUAUUACAUUACUAUAAUUCUAUAAUAAUAUAAUAUAUGCUUAAGUAUGGAGUCUUAGCUAAAGCUAGAGUGCAUUUGGUUUCUUCAGAGCUAACACUUAUCGAUGUGGGAAAAUUAAAAGCUUUUAAUAUUUCUAUAAUUUUCGUCAUUUGGUUAUCAAUGACAACUGAAUCCGGAUUGUAAAACAGGGCAUUUCUAACACCUCAAAGUCAGUGUCUUUGUUGUAGUAAUUGAUCAUAGUAGGUUGUGAAAAAAAAAACGAAUUUUUUCUCACAGUUGUUUGUGUAUAUACUGAUUCUUAGCUAAAGCCUUUUAGGGUAAGGAGUUUAUAUGGUUACUACGAAGAGUAGAACUGAUUAAUGGUGAAAAGAUGAAGCAUAUUUUUAACAUUUAUUUGGAUCGCGUGUAAAUUGAUAUUUAUUGUUAGUAUGAUAGUUUUUAUAGGAUUUGUAAUGGAAAAUGAGUAUAAAAGAUAAUCUUAUGUUUUGUGUUUUCCUUAUAGAAGUUAGCAAUAUCUAAUAAUUAAUUUUGUUGUAAUUCAAGAUCAAAAUAUUUAGUUAACAUAUCUACGUCUGACAUUUUACAAUCAAAUAUUUUAUAUCCACAAAAUAAAAUAAUUUUGUACUCUUCAUGAGUAAAAUGCUAGAAUGCUGGAAUGCUGGAUUGCUGAUUGAUACUAUAGAAACCUAGGACUGAGCUAAGUAUAAUUGUUCUUUACAUCUGCUAAAAAAAAUUAUAUUUGUUGAUAUUUCAGAUGACGUUGGAACUUCUGUGGAGUUAUGCGUAUUCGGAAAAAUAUAUAAUGUAUAUUAAUUUUAUUUUUAGUUAAUUUAUAGUUUAUAAUAUUAAUUAGAAAUUUAGCGGUACAUAAUGUAUUAAAAUUGUUUCGAAAAUGUAUGUCUAGAGUUUAGAAAUGCCUAGUGAAGUGCCAUGAGCACUAUAGUUUUAUCAAUAUUUUUUUGAAUAUGAGUAGUUCAUGCCAGUGGUAACAAUAUAAUGUAUUUUUGUAUAGAAUUUUUG